GACGGGGGAGGCAAGCGUUCUUCGGAAUCACUGGGCGUAAAGCGUCUGUAGGUGGUGAUGCAAGUCACUGGUGCAAAACUCUGGCUCAACCGGAGGAAAGCCAGUGAAACUGCAUGACUAGAGUGUGGGAGAGGUAGAAGGAAUUCCCUGAGUAGCGGUGAAAUGCGUAGAUACAGGGAAGAACACCGGAGGCGAAAGAGUUCUACUGGAACAAAACUGACCCUGAGAGAGGAAAGCUAGGGGAGCGAAUGGG
rnacentral:rRNA from 1 species